rnacentral:siRNA from 1 species
AGGGUGUCUCUUUCCAUACUCU